GUGUGCCCCUGUCAUAAAAAUCCUGAACAGCUUGCCAAGCUAUAGGAUCAUGUCUGUCCGGUUGUCCUGUAUUGGGAGCAGCCUUAAAGACAGGAAAGGCUCAAGCCCCCCCGGUCCCCUGGCCAUCCUCAUCACAGUCCUGUGGCAGGUUUUCCUCAGGGACCGGGCCGAGCUCAGCAGCAUCCACCUGGACACUCUUCUCCACCCCCUUCACCCGAAGGACACCCCUCUUUGGCAUCCCCAUCCGUUCUAGCAAAUCCCAAUGGCCCUGCUGCAAUGCCCGCAUUUUAACUGUUUCCCAAAGAGUGCGGCACCCCGCGGCUGGGCCGCCCACGACCCACGGCUGCCCCGGCGCGGGCGCCGCUGAUGGGUGUUGCCCCGCAUGGGCGGCUGCGAAAGGCGCCAGCACGGCGUACAGGGCUGCCGUUUGUUUUGCCAUGGUGCCAACUAUUUGCACGACAAUAUCGAUAGGGAAGGCUGGCACUAGCUCUGCCACUGCCGCUGCCGCUGGCACAGGCGCUGGCGUUGCUGCCACAGGCGGUGGGGGCGCGGGGGCUGCGAUGACGUCAGCGGGUGACUGUCCUGGCCCCGCCGCCCGGGGGACGGGGGCCGCGGGCUCCUGCGGGGCGAGUCCCCACAGGAGGAGGGUGAGCCGCUCCAGUAGUUGCAGGGGGGAUCGGACACUGCAACUGUUUUGGAGAAGGAAAAACAGGCAAGAAGCAUGCUGACAUUUCAAUAUUCCUUCAACUCAACAGUUCAGAGUACAGUUGCAACAAGAAAAGCAAAUGUGUACCCAUGAACAGCCAGAGAUUAAUUUCAUUGGAUUUUCCAAGAAUUGAAAGGUAAACCACAAUGCUAAUUUUACAGACUUUUGAUAAGGAGAGGUCAAAUUUUGAUUAAAAAAAAGAAAAUA
rnacentral:lncRNA from 12 species